CCUACGGGAGGCAGCAGUAGGGAAUAUUGGACAAUGGGGGCAACCCUGAUCCAGCCAUGCCGCGUGUGUGAAGAAGGCCCUCGGGUUGUAAAGCACUUUCAGUGAGGAAGAACGCCUGGUGGUUAAUACCCAUCAGGAAAGACAUCACUCACAGAAGAAGCACCGGCUAACUCCGUGCCAGCAGCCGCGGUAAUACGGAGGGUGCGAGCGUUAAUCGGAAUUACUGGGCGUAAAGCGCGCGUAGGUGGCUUGAUAAGCCGGUUGUGAAAGCCCCGGGCUCAACCUGGGAACGGCAUCCGGAACUGUCAAGCUAGAGUGCAGGAGAGGAAGGUAGAAUUCCCGGUGUAGCGGUGAAAUGCGUAGAGAUCGGGAGGAAUACCAGUGGCGAAGGCGGCCUUCUGGACUGACACUGACACUGAGGUGCGAAAGCGUGGGUAGCAAACAGGAUUAGAUACCCGAGUAGUC
rnacentral:rRNA from 1 species